AGAAUAAAAGGCUCUAAUGACGGGUUCCUUAUCGUAAGCCUGACUUUUCACUUUUCAGAUCUCUCUCUCUCUUUCUACCUUAGACCCAAAGCGAAGACCUUUCUCUGGCUUCAACAACUUGGGGCUUUAUCAUUUCCACAAGAGCUCAGGUGCCCUUUUUAAUCUCAUCUCCGAUCUCAAUUUCACCGUCUUCAUUUUCUCCUUUUAUCGUAUCGAUCCUCGGUCUGCCUCCUCUCUUUGAUCUCAUGUGAUGUUUGUGUUGAUCUAUGAAAUGGGAAUUUAUGAGUUAGUGAUAUCCAUGUGUUUGAUUGAUUCGAUUAUAUUUUGCUUUUAAUGACUAUCAUGUGUCUGCCCUUUUUCAGUGGAUGAUUAAUUUUAUCUUUUUUUGUUUUAUUUGUUUGUAAGUGCAAAAUUCUCAGGAUUGGGCAUGUCUGCAAAGUUAUGUUAUUGUACAUAUUUUGGGAUUCAAUUUAUUUUCCUGAUAAUUUUCAUUUGGUUUCUGCUUUGAAUUUCCAUUUCAUAUGAUUAGUGGGUCAACAUUCGCAUAGGUUUUUGGGGUGUUUGUUGUUACUAAUUAGAGCAAAUGAUAGUUUGUUUAUAUAUGAUAAUAUGGCUUCAGCUCAUAGUGCAUGUUGAGCCAUUUUACAUUUGAAGUGAGUCAAAAUUGUCCCUUUGUUAACUUUUAAUUUAUCGUACAUGAAUUCAGUUUAUUUUGUGCUUUGAGUUUACUUUUUCAACCUUUGGUGCAAUUUGUAGUCAUGUGUGAUUUCAAAGUGCUAGUUAUGACUACGAGCAGUAUGGUGUCUUAUAAUCCAAGCUGAUUAUUCUGUUUCUUCAACUGCUAAUGGAUUGAUGUUGAAUGUUUGUUGUGAAUGUGAAAUAUUAGCACUAGAUACUACGUGUGUACGCUUAUUUUUUGGGGGCAGAAAAAACUAAAGAUAGAAGAUAAUGAAAACAGUGGGUUGCAGUACAGUUGCAUGCGUGGAUAGUGCAAAUGUAGUCAUAUACAUGUAAUUCACCUCAUUAGAUUGCUAAUUGCUCUUGUGCAAAAGAGAUGCGUAUUAUUUUGAGGAGUGGACUUUUUUGCUUUUGGAGCAUCACAAGCACUGCAAAAAAUAAAUUACUAAAGCUUAUUUUAUGAAUCCAUUACUUUACGGAUAGAAAUCUUGAUUCAUGGAAGAAGUUGAAGUACCCAUUUUGAUCAUCCCUGUUGCGGUGAACAACUUGUGUAAACUGUUUCUAGUACCUAUGAUGUGUAGGUUAGGUAACUUUGUUCUCUAAUUUCUUCAUGUUCAAAUGCCUAGAUUUAACGCAUUUAACGUGUUUACCCAAGUUGCUUUUGAAUCUAAACUAUGUCUCAUUUCCUUCACAGGGACAUGUCAGAUUCGACUGCAUUUAGGUGCUCUAAUUGAUUACUGGACCAUAUCUGCUUUUAAUUGUUGUUUGCUAGCUGAAAAAUGUCAUGUGAUGAAGUGCUGAAGGCUGUUUUCCCUUUGCUGGAUGGCAUAGACCUUGCUUCUUGUAUGGCAGUUUGCAAACAGUGGAGAGAUAUAGCCCGAGAUGAUUACUUUUGGAAAUGCCUAUGUGCCAAGAGAUGGCCUUCAAUUUGCAAGAGGCCUAGCCCUCCAACUGUGACCUACUUCAAGCUCUAUCAAACAUUUAAUAAGAGACAGCAUCGUCAAACCCUGCUUCCCCCAAGACUUUCUUUUGAUGAUUUAGAUUUUUUCAUCGAUAUUUGGACUGAAGAAAAAUUGAUCUUCUCGGAAGUUGUUCCAGGCCCUGUUUUGCUGACUGGAAUCAGAGUCCCACCACCUGGAAUUUGUGAUAUACUUAGAUUUCACCUUGACGGUCCUGAUUAUAAAAUGAUUCUACCUGUUGAGCCAAGAGUCAAGAUUCCUUUGAGCCAGACUGUGAGUGUUUCAGUGCUUGUAGGGCGCAAAGAUUCCAACAAAGUUGCUCGUGUCAUUAAUAGAUCUAUGUUUGAUUAUAUAGAUCGGACGGCCUACAGGGCUAUGGCAUUUGAGUACCUUGAUUUCUCCCCAGUUCACCCAUUUAUUCCUGGUAUCCGAGCAUGGAUAUCUUUGCUCUUCAUGGAAGAUGGAAAUGAGGGUGUCAUUGAUGUUUUUGGGAUUGAAAUGGAUUUCCGUGAUGCUGCAAAUUCCAGGGAGGAGGUUUUGUGGCUAUUAGACAUGCUUGAUUGGAAGUGAAGUGUGGAACUGUGAUGACCAAACUAAGAGGUGAGGAACUAAGCUCAAUAAGUUGCGGUUCAUGAUGCAAGGGGGACUGUCCAGGGAGAAUAGUUCAAAGGCCUUCAUCCUCGGUGGAAUUCUGGUUUUGUUAUGUCAUUUUAUUAUUUUUUUAAAGUUUGUACAUAUUUUCUUCUUUGUUGUGGUCAAUGCAUAUGAACAUCUGUUUUUCGUUGAAGCUCCCUUGACAUCUUAUCUCCCAUCUGGUAUGUGAUCAUGGGGUCUUGUGCUUAUCCGUAGGUUGACUUAGUUGAAACAGUGUGAUAAUAUCUUUGCAUAAUUCAGCAAUGAUUAUUAAAGUAUUGUUCAAGGUAUCGAUUCCUAGCUAAAUUGCAAUCUAGAGGCAUUUGAUAUCAAAUAUAUGAUUUAUCAUGUUUUGCUUAUGCGUGGCAUGUGUUCUUGGUUGAAGUGCAUUGCUGUACAUGCAACUUCUGCAAAGAAGUUGGUUGAUACUGUUCGGCGGCGGGGUAUAUAUAAUUAUAUAUAUGUAUAUGUUCUCAUCUUUACAACAUCAAAAUAAUAUUAAAAAACAAACUUUUUUUGAUAAUGACCA
rnacentral:misc_RNA from 1 species